CCUACGGGAGGCAGCAGUGAGGAAUAUUGGACAAUGGGCGCAAGCCUGAUCCAGCCAUGCCGCGUGCAGGAAGACGGUCCUAUGGAUUGUAAACUGCUUUUAUACAGGAAGAAAUACUUUCUCGUGAGAGAGCUUGACGGUACUGUAAGAAUAAGGAUCGGCUAACUCCGUGCCAGCAGCCGCGGUAAUACGGAGGAUCCAAGCGUUAUCCGGAAUCAUUGGGUUUAAAGGGUCCGUAGGCGGUUUAAUAAGUCAGUGGUGAAAUCUGGUCGCUCAACGAUCAAACGGCCAUUGAUACUGUUAGACUUGAAUUAUUGUGAAGUAACUAGAAUAUGUAGUGUAGCGGUGAAAUGCUUAGAUAUUACAUGGAAUACCAAUUGCGAAGGCAGGUUACUAACAAUGGAUUGACGCUGAUGGACGAAAGCGUGGGGAGCGAACAGGAUUAGAUACCCUGGUAGUCCACGCCGUAAACGAUGGAUACUAGCUGUUGGCGCAAGUUCAGUGGCUAAGCGAAAGUGAUAAGUAUCCACCUGGGGAAGUACGUUGCAAGAAGUUAGAAGUAAGUUAGAGUUGAGNGNGAGAGNGCGAGGACGACGACGAGGAGGAGG
rnacentral:rRNA from 1 species